AACGUGUCGCGAUGGAUGACU
rnacentral:rRNA from 1 species